GCGAAUGUUCCAAGGCUGGCGAGGCGGUCUCCAAAACCGCUUGUGGUGGGUUCGAUUCCCAACCGUCCGUGCCA
rnacentral:tRNA from 1 species